AACACAUGCAAGUCGAGGGGCAUCAGGGACUGUGCUUGCACAGUUGCUGGCGACCGGCGCACGGGUGAGUAACGCGUAUCCAACCUUCCCCUUAGUAGGGCAUAGCCCGUAGAAAUGCGGAUUAAUACCCUAUGUUUUUCCAAUGAGGACAUCUGAGCUGGAACAAAGAUUCAUCGCUAAGGGAUGGGGAUGCGUCUGAUUAGCUUGCCGGCGGGGUAACGGCCCACCGGGGCAACGAUCAGUAGGGGUUCUGAGAGGAAGGUCCCCCACAUUGGAACUGAGACACGGUCCAAACUCCUACGGGAGGCAGCAGUGAGGAAUAUUGGUCAAUGGUCGAGAGACUGAACCAGCCAAGUAGCGUGCAAGGGAUGACGGCCCUAUGGGUUGUAAACUGCUUUUAUGCGAGGAUAAAGUGACGUACGUGUACGUUUUUGCAGGUACCGCAUGAAUAAGGACCGGCUAAUUCCGUGCCAGCCGCAGC
rnacentral:rRNA from 1 species